rnacentral:rRNA from 1 species
UACGUAGGGGGCUAGCGUUGUCCGGAAUCAUUGGGCGUAAAGAGCGUGUAGGCGGUCCGGUAAGUCCGCUGUGAAAGUCGGGGGCUCAACCCUCGAAUGCCGGUGGAUACUGUCGGGCUAGAGUGCGGAAGAGGCGAGUGGAAUUCCUGGUGUAGCGGUGAAAUGCGCAGAUAUCAGGAGGAACACCGGUGGCGAAGGCGGUUCUCUGGGCCGAUACUGACGCUGAGGAGCGAAAGCGUGGGGAGCAAACAGG